UGCAUUUGUGACACAUGAUGAACCUUAAAGUAGUCUCUGUGAUCCAUCCUAUUGAUGCACAUGCAUUGAUCGUGUGGCCCAUUGAGCUUUGCUUGGUCUCUUGGAUACGGAACAUGAUGUGGCUUUGGGUCCUCUCAUGAUCCUUGUUUUGCCCUUGUUUGCUAUUCUCUAAACGACGGUUCAUGCACGCCUAGGCUUGUACCUGCGUGAUGUUCUAUGUUGAAGAGGAAUGC
rnacentral:misc_RNA from 1 species